UUCUGCGAAAUCUAUAUCAGUAGAGCGUGCUUAAAAUAAGACCCGAACUGGAGCGGAGGGAGGCCCAACGAAACUCCGAAUACAGGCUUAAUGAAACGUACAGACAGACUUUGGAUCAUAUCUUGAGUCCAGAGUGAAACAGCCCAUAUCGUACGCUAAGAUCCCUAAACAAUCGCUUAGUGAAAAGGAAGUGAUCUUGCGAUGACAAGCAGGAGGUGGGCCUGGAAGUAGCCAUCCUUCGAAGAAACCAUAAUAGCUCACUGGUCUAGCUCCAUGGCACCGAAAAUGUAUCGGGGCUAGAGUGAUUCUCGGAAGCCACGACACCCUGGAAGCGAGGCGCGAACCAGGAUGUUCUCUAAAAUGGAGAACACCUGGAUAUAUUAGGAAUGAGAUUCAAAUUUAUUCAAGGCUCCAUUUGCAUUGAAAUACCAUAGAAUAAUUUGGCAUAUAUGUUAACCCCGAGCUAUUAUGAAAAACUGUUCGUUUAUAAAAAAACACUCAACUAUUAAGCAUUCAAUAUCUUGAAAUUUCUGUAACUACGGAGCUUAAUUCUUUCCACCCUUGCAUGUGAUUUACGGUAUGCUUGGUUAUUUAUAGUUGUUUAUUUCACACACACAGGUCUCGGCGUAAAAAUGGAAAAUACCCUUUCUAGACCUCAAAGAAUGCAGUCUUUCUCAUACUGCAAGGACCAGUCAUGCCCCUUCUGAUCAUAUACACAGAAAGGAAAGUACCAACAUUCAUGCCCCUUCUGAUCAUAAUCGACAAAGUAGAAAACAAUACAAAUUUCCUACCUGAUGACGGACUCUGAAAAUGUCUUUUCGGGCUGUUCAUGCCUUAGAUUAUUUAGAUCACCUCCUGGGCAGUAUUCUCCUACGAAUGCAAUAAUCUUUUCUGUCUCCAGUCGACCAAGGAAUGGCGACAGAA
rnacentral:ncRNA from 1 species